rnacentral:rRNA from 1 species
AGAGUUUGAUCCUGGCUCAGGAUGAACGCUGGCGGCGUGCUUAAUACAUGCAAGUCGAACGGAGGUUGUAGCAAUACAUCCUUAGUGGCGAACGGGUGAGUAACGCGUUGGUGACCUGCCCCGAAGUGUGGGAUAACAGCUCGAAAGGGCUGCUAAUACCGCAUGUGAUCCUCCGGAUUAGAAGCCGGAUGAUUAAAGGCGAAAGCCGCUUCGGGAGGGGCCUGCGUCCCAUCAGCUAGUUGGUAGGGUAAUGGCCUACCAAGGCGAUGACGGGUAGGGGACCUGAGAGGGUGGCCCCCACAAUGGAACUGAAACACGGUCCAUACACCUACGGGUGGCAGCAGUAGGGAAUAUUGGUUAAUGGGCGAAAGCCUGAACCAGCAACGCCGCGUGCGCGAUGACGGCCUUCGGGUUGUAAAGCGCUUUUUGAGGGGAAGAGGAAGGACGGUACCUUCAGAAUAAGUCUCGGCUAACUACGUGCCAGCAGCCGCGGUAA